UGGGUUUGGGAUUAACGGCAGAUGGUUC
rnacentral:sRNA from 1 species